rnacentral:rRNA from 1 species
AUUGAACGCUGGCGGCAUGCUUUACACAUGCAAGUCGAACGGUAACAGGUUAAGCUGACGAGUGGCGAACGGGUGAGUAAUACAUCGGAACGUGCCCAGACGUGGGGGAUAGCUCGGCGAAAGCCGGAUUAAUACCGCAUAAGCUCUGAGGAGGAAAGCGGGGGACCGGAAGGCCUCGCGCGCUUGGAGCGGCCGAUGGCAGAUUAGGUAGUUGGUGGGGUAAAGGCUUACCAAGCCUACGAUCUGUAGCUGGUCUGAGAGGACGACCAGCCACACUGGGACUGAGACACGGCCCAGACUCCUACGGGAGGCAGCAGUGGGGAAUUUUGGACAAUGGGCGAAAGCCUGAUCCAGCAAUGCCGCGUGCAGGAUGAAGGCCUUCGGGUUGUAAACUGCUUUUGUACGGAACGAAAAGGCGCCUACUAAUACUGGGUGUUGAUGACGGUACCGUAAGAAUAAGCACCGGCUAACUACGUGCCAGCCGCCGCGGUAACAC